rnacentral:rRNA from 1 species
CCCUUAGAUGUUCGGGGCCGCACGCGCGCUACACUGAAGGAAUCAGCACGUCUUUCUCCUUGUCCGAAAGGACUGGGUAACCCGCUGAACCUCCUUCGUGCUAGGGAUUGGGGCUUGUAAUUCUUCCCCAUGAACGAGGAAUUCCCAGUAAGCGCGAGUCAUAAGCUCGCGUUGAUUACGUUCCUGCCCUUUGUACACACCGCCCGUCGCUACUACCGAUUGGAUGGUUUAGUGAGAUCCUCGGAUUGGUCCCGGCGCGGCCUCUGGUCGUGCCGGAGUGCCGAAAAGAAUGUCGAACUUGAUCAUCUAGAGGAAGUAAAAGUCGUAACA